rnacentral:rRNA from 1 species
AUUGGCUUAUGCACCACAUGUGUUUUUCUUUGAAACAAACUUGCUUUGGCGGUGGGCCCAGCCUGCCGCCAGAGGUCUAAACUUACAACCAAUUUUUUAUUAACUUGUCACACCAGAUUAUUACUAAAUAGUCAAAACUUUCAACAACGGAUCUCUUGGUUCUCGCAUCGAUGAAGAACGCAGCGAAAUGCGAUACGUAAUAUGAAUUGCAGAUAUUCGUGAAUCAUCGAAUCUUUGAACGCACAUUGCGCCCUCUGGUAUUCCGGAGGGCAUGCCUGUUUGAGCGUCGUUUCUCCCUCAAACCGCUGGGUUUGGUGUUGAGCAAUACGACUUGGGUUUGCUUGAAAGACGGUAGUGGUAAGGCGGGAUCGCUUUGACAAUGGCUUAGGUCUAACCAAAAACAUUGCUUGCGGCGGUAACGUCUACCACGUAUAUCUUCAAACUUUGACCUCAAAUCAGGUAGGACUACCCGCUGAACUUAAGCAUAUCAAAAGGCGGGAGGAAAAAUCCCCUACUGG